GGACGAACGCUGGCGGCGUGCCUAACACAUGCAAGUCGAACGAAGCUCUGCGAUACAAGACUUCGGUCAAGUUGAACGGAUGACUUAGUGGCGGACGGGUGAGUAACGCGUGAGGAACCUGCCUUCAGAGGGGGACAACAGUUGGAAACGACUGCUAAUACCGCAUGACGCAUGACUGGGGCAUCCCGGACAUGCCAAAGAUUUAUCGCUGAAAGAUGGCCUCGCGUCUGAUUAGAUAGUUGGCGGGGUAACGGCCCACCAAGUCGACGAUCAGUAGCCGGACUGAGAGGUUGACCGGCCACAUUGGGACUGAGAUACGGCCCAGACUCCUACGGGAGGCAGCAGUGGGGAAUAUUGGGCAAUGGACGCAAGUCUGACCCAGCAACGCCGCGUGAAGGAAGAAGGCUUUCGGGUUGUAAACUUCUUUUAAGGGGGAAGAGCAGAAGACGGUACCCCUUGAAUAAGCCACGGCUAACUACGUG
rnacentral:rRNA from 1 species